UUUGUGUUACUAAAUUUAAAUUUUUAUUUAUACUUUGUAGUGAAUCUCAGCCAUUUCGUGUUUUUUCUUGUUCUGUUUACAAUAGGUUAAUAUGGUUUUGGCAAGAAGUGAUUACAACGAUCAAUCAUGAUUCCUAUUCUUGGUGACUUCCAAUAAAGCUGAAAUUCAGAUCAUACGAUGUCUUGGUGGCAACCAAAAAUUCAACCUCAACUUGGAUUGCAAAUGAAUAUUGGAUGAAAUUAACCAAAAAGUCCCAUCUGUUGGUGCCUUUCGAUUUAAAUAAUUACAAUGUCCUCUGAUGGCAAGUUAAUUUCUUGAAGAUUUCGUCUAUGUUGGUGAAAAUACGUGUGUUGCUUGGAAUUGAUCGAUUUUUAAUGGUGAAUGAAGGAUAGCAAGACUAAAAUAGCUGCAAGCUUCAGCGAAAGUCACAGCGAAGUCCAAUGCCGAUUUCAAUUGUUUUUCUGGUUAUGUCCAACGUCCAUGGUAUUGAACAAUGUAAACUCAAGACUGAUGGAUGAUCUCAUCAUAAAUGAAGCCAAUGACUUCAAAUACAGAUAUCUGUAUCCCUGAGGCUACCAGCCAUAAUAUAUAAAAGUCUGAAGCUGAUGUCCUUUAUAAUUGCUUAUACUAUAGUAUUAAUUACUCAUAUUUACACAGACCUAGGUCACUGAGAGAGAGAGUCCUAAUCAGUUGAAAAUUUCUGUUCAGCCAAUGGAGUCCAAUUUGGAAAGAUCAAGAUGUCCAUCAAGAAGAUACUUUCAAAAAUGGUUAAAUGAUAAUCCCAAGCCAUGGCAAAAGAUGGAUUCAACGAUAAAAUUAAUUUAAUUUGGAUUCCAUUGCAAUUUUGAAGAUGUUUUGCCACAAAAAUCCUUCCGCUGUCACCAACUCAAGGCUAUUGUCCACAUACAUCAGAGGGAAGGGCAAGGUUAGAUUCUGGAUCCAGAUAAAUAUUGAAAUGUUAAAGAUUCAUUGAUGCAUUCCUAUUCAACAUUGACAAAUGUCCAUGUGAAAUCAUGGUCAUCAGCCCAUCAUUUUGGUCUCUUCUUUUCAAUGUUAUUUUCAAAUGUUAAAGUUGAAUUAGUUGAAUUUUACCUUAUUUUAGCAUCAAAUUGUAAAUUAAUUAACAAAUUGUGUCUAAUGGUCAAGGAUUCAAUAAAAAAAAGUGUUU